UUCCGGUUGAUCCUGCCGGACCCUACUGCUAUCGGGGUGGGACUAAGACAUGCAAGUUGUGCGUCUCUAAGCUAUGGUAGAGACGCGGCGUACGGCUCAGUAACACGUGGCUAACCUACCCUUAGGACGGGGACAACCCCGGGAAACUGGGGCUAAUAUCUGAUAGGUGAGGAGGCCUGGAAUGGUUCCUCCCUGAAAAGGCGUUGAAACCAUGCUUUUCAGCGUCGCCUAAGGAUGGGGCCGCGUCCGAUCAGGUUGUUGGUGGGGUGACGGCUCACCAAGCCAUUAACCGGUACGGGCCGUGAGAGCGGGAGCCCGGAGAUGGGCACUGAGACAAGGGCCCAGGCCCUACGGGGCGCAGCAGUCGCGAAAACUCCGCAAUGCGCGAAAGCGUGACGGGGCUACCCCGAGUGCCGUCCGCUGAGGAUGGCUUUUCCCCGGUGUAAUGAGCCGGGGGAAUAAGGAGAGGGCAAGACUGGUGUCAGCCGCCGCGGUAAUACCAGCUCUCCGAGUGGUAGGGACAAUUAUUGGGCUUAAAGCGUCCGUAGCCGGCUUGGCAAGUCUUCUGUUAAAUUCAGCGACUUAAUCGUUGAGCCGCGGGAGAUACUACUAGGCUAGGAGGCGGGAGAGGCCGACGGUAUUCCCGGGGUAGGGGUGAAAUCCUAUAAUCCCGGGAGGACCACCAGUGGCGAAGGCUGUCGGCUAGAACGCGCUCGACGGUGAGGGACGAAAGCUGGGGGAGCGAACCGGAUUAGAUACCCGGGUAGUCCCAGCCGUAAACGAUGCGGGCUAGGUGUUGAGGUGGCUACGAGCCACUUCAGUGCCGCAGGAAGCCAUUAAGCCCGCCGCCUGGGGAGUACGGGCCGCAAGGCUGAACUUAAAGGAAUUGGCGGGGGAGCAUCACAAGGCGUGCAGCUUGCGUUCAAUUGGAUUCAACGCCGGA
rnacentral:rRNA from 1 species